UCACAGGAUGUGGUUCUCCAGUGAAGUAACAUCAGAUAAAGGAAGGGAAGGGAGUCCACAGCUCGCCUACACUCCCAGUGGCAGAGUCCCUCUAUGUGCCACCUCCUAUUUCCAGCUGGAAAGGCAACCCAGCAGUGGGCACUGGCACCUUCUUGGGGCUGGGGGGGCUGUGAUGUCAUCCAGGAGCAUUCCUUACCACACAGGCACCUUCCCUGCCUGGUGCUCCUCACAUGGCAAACCACCAGGAUCUCACCCUGCCACAGCGCUGUUAAGAUACAUUCUCCACCCAGUGCUUAAAACAGUGGUAUUACAUUGAGUAAGGAAUGUGAGCAGGCAGAAGCAGAACAAUCCCCACUAAAGCUCUUUUCAUAGGCUUUAUUCUACACAAUGGCCCUGUACCCAACAGGAGCACAGUAGCACCAGAUGGGAGCAGAGCCUCUUUUCUGAGGUGAUGAUGACUACUGCAUUGAAGAUACCCUUAAUUAACUCCAUCUGCCUGAGAUCAAGAUCAGACACAGCCUCUCCAUUUAUGCUCAGGAUUUCAUUGCCUACUCGGAGCCCUGGCAGCAUGUGAAAGCAAAGGGAAAAAAAAAAAAGGGGUCUCCCAUGGCGCCUCAAGGACUUCAGAUUGUUCUGUCUCUUCCGUGACACCUGGUGGCCAAGUCGUGUAUCAGACAAUCCUUUCAGCCGGACCAGGCACAGCCAAGUUUUUAAAACUAAAGCCAAACAUUAAAAAUUUUCUCAACGAUUCAGUCUCCACCAGAAGAAGCCACAAGAAGAUAAUUUCUUCUUCAUGAUGCCCUGGAGAUGCAUUGGGACUUGCCUAAAUUAGAGUGCUUAUUUUGAUUUUAAAAACUAUAGUUUACUCUGGAUUGUUAAAAGUUUGUUUUGUUUUUUUUAUUUCCACCCAAUAUUAGCACGUGAAAGGAGCCAUUAAAUCGGGCCUUUUCCUCCAUUAAAGCCUCAAACUUCAUUAACUUCAAGCCAGUUCAAUGAGUUCACAUGGAAAUUCACCGUAACCUAUGCCAAAAGCUACAGCUGGAUCUUGUCCGGCACAGGACUCCUUUUUUUCCUGUUUUUCCCCUUGUGAAGUAAAUAAAAUAUAUUUACCAGUUGGCCGGAAAACAGAACUUGGGGGUAAAGAGUAUUUUUUUCCAAAAAGCUGUUUAGCGUAAUUUAAGUGUCUUGAAUCAUGAAGUCAUACAGUUCAAACACUGACACAUAUGGAGGCAGAAAUGUUAGGUAUAUUACAAUGUUCCGGAGGUGCUGGUGUUUUGUCUGUAGCUAAAACUGGUAUUCGUAUUUUACCUUCAACCUGCGACCAUUUUCUGUUCCAUGGUCUAUAGCAAUCCCUCUCAAUUCACCAGCACUG